rnacentral:tRNA from 1 species
UACAUUUUAAUAUAAGAAGUAUUUUAAUUUUUGAAGUUAAAUGAUUGGGUUUAAUUCCUUUAAAUGUAA